GGUACUGUUGUUAAUCAGUUAAACAAAAUUAUGUCAGUUUAAUCAAAUUUUCACAAUUGGUAAAUUUUAUUUUAUACAAAGAAUAGCAAUUAAAGUGAUCAAACGAAUAAAGGAUCAGGAUUAAUUUUCUAAAUUUAGGGUAAAGUCAGCUGAAUAUAACUUUGAGAGAAGGACUUUUACAUAAUAUUUGAAAAAUACUGCUUGUUUGAAUUUGUGAUGUUCUUGAUGCUGAUUGGUUGAAUUGGUGGUGUGACACUUGAAGUUAGCUGCUUUGAUUUUGAUAUCUGGUUAUGGUUUGAAAAUUUAAUUGAACUGACGAGCAGCAAGAAAACGAGAAAAGUCCUGUCAAGGUUUGGUGUCAUUAAACUGUUGAUUUAUAAAAGACCUUAGAAAUUUUGUUUUUAGACAGAUCUAAUAAAUAUGUUAACUACCUAGAAGGUGAUUUUAAUUUGAUUUUUUUGAAAGUCUCGUGUAUAUAUUUGUGUAGGUUCACUUGAUACCAGUGC
rnacentral:lncRNA from 1 species